rnacentral:lncRNA from 1 species
AGAGGGCGCCCGCGCUCGCGCACCUCGGGAGAGGCGGCGGUCCCGCCCGCGGCGAGACGGGAAGGCGACUGGCGAGUGGGAAGGGGAGUCUGGUUGGUGGAAGCGACGUGGCUUCCAUGGUUCACCUUGGGGGAGGUCAGCUUUGCACCGAAAGAUGACGGUGGAGUAAGAUGAACGAGGGUGCUUUAGAAGCAGUGAAAACCGCAGAGGAGUUUCAACAACAGUGAGGUCGACCUGAGGACCAGCUUCUGUCCUUUGUACCGCUUUCCACAUGAACGAACUGAGGUUCAGAGACCUUGAGUAAGUUGCCUAAGGAGACACAGCAGGGAGGGUGGU